CUCCCUAGGUACACCUGAUCCCCUUCUAUUGUAUCUUUUUUGUUUGCCCGAUCACUGAUCGGGAUUGAGUCGCCCACCAGCUGUCGACCUCGUGCAUACUACGACAUCAGCAUCGACUGGGCCAUCAGCUGCCCCGACACACCAUCGACUAUGCAUUGGACGUCCCAACACGAGGAUCGGGAUUGAGUCGCCCACCAGCUGUCGACCUCGUGCAUACUACGGCAUCAGCAUCGACUGGGCCAUCAGCUGCCCCGGCACACCAUCGACUAUGCAUUGGACGUCCCAACACAGGUGCACGCCCCACCGGCUCAUCAUCGACACCUUCGCCGAGUAUUACGCGUACCUUCUCUGAGCAAAAGGGUUGUUGUUGUGUUGCCUCAUCUAGCCGCAGCACCGCUGCCCAUGUGUCCACUUCACUGUUGCAUCUACAUCGCCAUCACCUGUGCAUCGACGACUAUGCUGCACAAUCUCUGUUGCGCCAUCUGCCUGCACAAGGUCUUCGUCUUGCUGAUUAGGUCUUGAUCAUCAAGCUGUCGCUACUCAUGUCGUCAAUGAGACCUACUCACCGACGCGUCUUUUGCCACAUUGCUUCUUCGUCCAACACAACCACACGGUUGGGGCCCUCUCCCUUGUACGUUCGGGUAUUGACAACACCGACGCGUGCUUUAGUCCCCAACGCGUUGCUGGAUCUGACAAUCCAGCAGCGCCUCACCACUAAUGUGGCUUGACUGCAUCGACUUCAUCGACCCUCCUGUUCCCACCCUGUCUACCUCGUUUGCAUCGUCGCCCUUCUUCUAUGUCUACGACGGCCCUGAUUGUGUCGACUUCGACAUCGCCCCUCCCACGACGACUGCCUCGACGCGUCCCUGUCAUUACCAUGGCGCCCCUUGUGUGCCUGCAACUCCAUCGACAAGGCAACCCGACCACAACUACAUCGACCUCAACCAUCCUUGGCACGGCUUCUUCAACCACAGCUACAAUGCCCUCAUACUCGGCUACCUAAACAACGGCACAAAGGGCUACCACCUUGCAUGAGGACUCAUCAGCGGCUUCUCCAGCCACAACAUACGCGGCGCAUCAACUAUUAUGACUGCGGGGGAAUGUUAGCUUUGUCAGCUUCUCUAGUCUCACAGUCUGCAACACUCCCGCUGUGACUGCGAGGGGAUGUUAAAUAGGAAUAGUAGCACAUUGUGUACCCAUGUGAGGUGUUAGUCCUAUGUAACCUAUAUAAUCAGCCCAUGAGGCCCAAUACAAUAUAUCCAAUAUUCUACCAAUUAUAUUCUCCUUGACGGACAAACACAAAGAAGCAUAGGAAGUAUUAUGUUGAAGAAGGCAUCCAAAUGACACUUUAC
rnacentral:lncRNA from 1 species